CCCUGCAUCCGAAAGUGACCUUGGCUGCCUGUGCCCUGGUCAUUGGUAGUGCAGGGAAAGGAUGCUGAAAGACAUGUUCCGAGUUUGGGGGUGUCUGUCCUGACCCCUCCAGAUCCUGGAGCUUUUCCUACA